rnacentral:rRNA from 1 species
CUCAGUUCGGAUUGGAGUCUGCAACCCGACUCCAUGAAGCUGGAUUCGCUAGUAAUCGCGCAUCAGCCACGGCGCGGUGAAUACGUUCCCGGGCCUUGUACACACCGCCCGUCAAGCCAUGGAAGCCGGGGGGUGCCUGAAGUGCGCUGCCGCAAGGAGCGUCCUAGGGUAAAACCGGUGACUGGGGCUAAGUCGUAACAAGGUACC